AAUUUGCGUGAAGGAUUGCAGUGGAAAUCCCACAGCCCGACGCAGGAGGUGCGAGGAAUUGCAGCGAAAAGCCUGACCUUUA
rnacentral:misc_RNA from 1 species